rnacentral:rRNA from 1 species
UACGUAGGGCGCGAGCGUUGUCCGGAAUUAUUGGGCGUAAAGAGCUCGUAGGCGGCUUGUCACGUCGGGUGUGAAAGCCCGGGGCUUAACCCCGGGUCUGCAUUCGAUACGGGCUAGCUAGAGUGUGGUAGGGGAGAUCGGAAUUCCCGGUGUAGUGGUGAAAUGCGUAGAUAUCGGGAGGAACACCUGAGGCGAAGGCGGGCUACUGGGCCGAUACUGACGCUGAUGCGCGAAAGCGUGGGGAGCGAACAGG